rnacentral:tRNA from 1 species
GGGGAUUUAGCUCAGUGGCAUAAGCGCCUGCCUGGCAAGCAUGCAGUUGUGAGUUCAAUCCCCA